AACGAACGCUGGCGGCAUGCCUAACACAUGCAAGUCGAACGAGACCUUCGGGUCUAGUGGCGCACGGGUGCGUAACGCGUGGGAACCUGCCCUUAGGUUCGGAAUAACUUCCCGAAAGGGGUGCUAAUACCGGAUAAUGUCUUCGGACCAAAGAUUUAUCGCCUUUGGAUGGGCCCGCGUUGGAUUAGCUAGUUGGUAGGGUAAAACCCUACCAAGCCGACGAUCCAUAGCUGGUCUGAGAGGAUGAUCAGCCACACUGGGACUGAGACACGGCUCAGACUCCUACGGGAGGCAGCAGUGGGGAAUAUUGGACAAUGGGCGAAAGCCUGAUCCAGCAAUGCCGCGUGAGUGAUGAAGGCCUUAGGGUUGUAAAGCUCUUUUACCCGGGAUGAUAAUGACAGUACCGGCAGAAUAAGCUCCGGCUAACUCCGUG
rnacentral:rRNA from 1 species